UUUUCAUGCCAAUAUGUGAUUGGCCAGAUCACUGAAAAUGGGUGGGCAACGGAGGCCUGGCCUCACCAUGCAUUGUGUCCAGGGCUGAAAGAUUGACAUUUUGUUCGUCCAAUCACAUGCUACUGGUUCAUUUGGAAUCAAUCCUUUCCUUUCCUAAUCAACACAGAAGCCAUUUUGAGAAUUCGCCAGCCACUUCAGUCAAACAAACACUCGCCAUAGUGGCUACGAGUGUCCUAUCAACUUGUGCUUUUCAGGAAAUUUAGAGAACACCCCUGGCUAUCAUCCGUGAAGUUUAUAGCUCAUAUAGCCAAAUACUUUUGCUUAAAACGACCUCGGAAAUCGGCGAGAUUCUGGCGCAAUUUGUACUUUUUUUUUAAUUGUUGAAGGGAAACAAAAAGCAGAGACAAGACCGUUUUUGCAAUCAACGUUACAGUUUUUUUUUAAUCUGGGGAUGGAUGGCUGAGUUGGACACGUUCUGGAUCCACACGACCUUAGAUGAAGCCAGCUGCAACCCGUAGAGUGGAGUCGUGGAGAGAGCCCCUCGCCCCUCAGCUAAACCAGAGUAAAUGAAGCCAGCACCAACCUGUGGAGUGGAGUCCAGGAGAGAGCAUGCCGCCCCUCAGCUAAACCAGAUCAGAUAAAGCCAACUGGAACCAUAUUUUUACAUAUUUUAUAUUAAAUAUAUUGAAUAAAACUACAUAUGAUAAAGAAAGUGUUAUCUUAUCUUUUUUAUAUGCUAAACUUGAUUAAAUUGGUGAUUACAUGUUGAAGCUGUAGAAGAAUGAAAAAUGUAAGCUAAACUAAAUUGUU